AACGAACGCUGGCGGCGCGUCUUAAGCAUGCAAGUCGAACGGCAAGAUGCCUUCUGGUAUCCUAGAGUGGCGGACUGGUGAGUAACGCGUGGAUGACGUACCCUCGUGACGGGGAUAGCCGGUAGAAAUACCGGGUAAUACCGGAUAAGGUCUCACGGAAUAAAGGCGUGAGAGGAAAGCAGCGUAUGCUGCGCAGGAGGAACGGUCUGCGGCCUAUCAGCUGGUUGGCAGGGUAAAGGCCUACCAAGGCGACGACGGGUAUCCGGCCUGAGAGGGUGGACGGACACAUUGGGACUGAGAUACGGCCCAGACUCCUACGGGAGGCAGCAGCUAAGAAUAUUCCGCAAUGGGGGGAACCCUGACGGAGCGACGCCGCGUGGACGAUGAAGGUCGGAAGAUUGUAAAGUCCUUUUAUACAUGAAGAAGAAGUUGUACAGGAAAUGGUAUGAUGGUGACGGUAGUGUAUGAAUAAGCACCGGCUAAUUACGUGC
rnacentral:rRNA from 1 species